AGCGAACGCUGGCGGCAGGCCUAACACAUGCAAGUCGAACGAACUCUUCGGAGUUAGUGGCGGACGGGUGAGUAACACGUGGGAACGUGCCUUUUGGUUCGGAAUAACUCGGGGAAACUUGUGCUAAUACCGAAUGUGCCCUUCGGGGGAAAGAUUUAUCGCCAUUAGAGCGGCCCGCGUCUGAUUAGCUAGUUGGUGAGGUAACGGCUCACCAAGGCGACGAUCAGUAGCUGGUCUGAGAGGAUGACCAGCCACACUGGGACUGAGACACGGCCCAGACUCCUACGGGAGGCAGCAGUGGGGAAUCUUGCGCAAUGGGCGAAAGCCUGACGCAGCCAUGCCGCGUGAAUGAUGAAGGUCUUAGGAUUGUAAAAUUCUUUCACCGGGGACGAUAAUGACGGUACCCGGAGAAGAAGCCCCGGCUAACUUCGUG
rnacentral:rRNA from 1 species